ACCAGUAGCCGCUUUGUCCAAUUGUACUGCAGCAAACCAAUCAGGAAAUGCAAUUUCAUCCCAAUUGAAGAUUGUGAUCCUUGCACUCCACCCACGAGUAUAAUCUGUAUAAACAUGCCAGUUCAUGCUGACCCCACAGUUAUCUCCACAGGGCAUUGGGUUUGGCACUGUUCUAUGUUUAAGUUCAGCCCAAGCUCUAGCCAUAGGAUUAUCAAAAGGUAUAAGCAGUGCCUCUGGUGGAAGAAGAACAGCAGGAGCAGUCGUAUUACAAGUUCUUGCCGUGCUAGCAGGGCAUCCACAUGCACAGGUAUUGCAUGGAACAACAGAAUCAUUGUAGUAAGCAGAAAAUGAUACACAGCAUCUGGGGCUUACUCCCUUGGGAUGAGUAAUAUUGCAUACUACCUGCCAGCUAGCAACUGCAGUUGAAUUUGAUGGUAAGCCACUAGGGUCUGGGAAUUGGCUAGGGCUCACUCUUACUGGGGGACCACAUUGAUAAUCAGGGUUAAGUGUGCCAUUGAUCUUCCAAUUCUGCGGUGGUGUGAGGUCAGACCGAUUAAGAACUGGAGGCAUUUUAAAAACCUGCAUCUGGAAAACUGAAAUUGACUUGCUUGGGUCCAUGGAUGGUGGCAAGAUUGUACCAUUUCGACAACAGAAGGGUUUCAACCCAAGGUUUGUGUCGUUGUACUUUGUCGGAGGCAGGUCAAUUAUUGUUGGCCUUCUUUCACAGUUUAAUACAUUGGCAAAGUCUAGUUCCUUAUAGAAUGUACCUUGUGGGCCAAAUAUGCAGUCAGAUGAAUCAACAACAUAGGGAUAAGCCCCUUUCAUGGUGUAGAUAAAUUCAUCCGUCAUCCAGUCCCAGCUCAAUUUCCAGUUAUCAAGACGACCAAGGGGAUUGUGAUUUUCAAUGGUAACCUGUGCCCAAUAAUUGGAAUCAUACGUUCUGAUCACAUCGUACAUGAUGGUAAGAUCCCCAUUCUGGCGAGGCAGGAACUCCUCCUCCACAGUGAUGUUUGAUUUAAAGUUCUGAUCUUUGGUGCAACAAACAUACAUCAUACUACCUUCCGUGGUAGUCUUAGGGCAAACAACCCAUCAUUAGCAAGCGUGACAUUAGA
rnacentral:misc_RNA from 1 species